rnacentral:sRNA from 1 species
ACCCGCUGAACUUAAGCAUAUCAAUAAGCGGAGGAAAAGAAACCAACAGGGAUUGCCCCAGUAACGGCGAGUGAAGCGGCAACAGCUCAAAUUUGAAAUCUGGUCCCCCCCCGCGGGGGCCCGAGUUGUAAUUUGAAGAGGAUGCUUCUGGCGAGGUGCCGUCCGAGUUCCCUGGAACGGGACGCCAUAGAGGGUGAGAGCCCCGUACGGUCGGACGCCGAGCCUCUGUGAAGCUCCUUCGACGAGUCGAGUAGUUUGGGAAUGCUGCUCAAAAUGGGAGGUAAACCCCUUCUAAAGCUAAAUACCGGCCAGAGACCGAUAGCGCACAAGUAGAGUGAUCGAAAGAUGAAAAGCACUUUGAAAAGAGAGUUAAAAAGCACGUGAAAUUGUUGAAAGGGAAGCGCUUGCGACCAGACUCGCGCCCGUCGGAUCAGCCGUCGCUUGCGGCGGCGCACUCCGGCGGGCUCGGGCCAGCAUCGGUUCGCCUCGGGGGGAGAAAGGCGGCGGGAAUGUGGCUCUACGGAGUGUUAUAGCCCGCCGCGCAAUACCCCCGGGCGGACCGAGGACCGCGCGUAUGCAAGGAUGCUGGCGUAAUGGUCGUCAGCGACCCGUCUUGAAACACGGACCAAGGAGUCGUCCUAAUAUGCGAGUGUUCGGGUGUCAAACCCCUGCGCGUAAUGAAAGUGAACGGAGGUGAGAGCUUCGGCGCAUCAUCGACCGAUCCUGAUGUUCUCGGAUGGAUUUGAGUAAGAGCAUAUUGGGCCGGACCCGAAAGAAGGUGAACUAUGCCUGUAUAGGGUAAAGCCAGAGGAAACUCUGGUGGAGGCUCGCAGCGGUUCUGACGUGCAAAUCGAUCGUCAAAUAUGGGCAUGGGGGCGAAAGACUAAUCSAACCUUCUAGUAGCUGGUUUCCGCCGAAGUUCCCUCAGGA